GGCCACGUGCCUGCCGGACAUGGGACGCUGGAGGGUCAGCAGCGUGGAGUCCUGGCCUUUUGCGUCCACGGGUGGGAAAUUGGCCAUUGCCACGGCGGGAACUGGGACUCAGGCUGCCCCCCGGCCGUUUCUCAUCCGUCCACCGGACUCGUGGGCGCUCGCACUGGCGCUGAUGUAGUUUCCUGACCUCUGACCCGUAUUGUCUCCAGAUUAAAGGUACGACAUUUGGAGGCCCCAGCGAGAAACGUCACCGGGAGAAACGUCACCGGGCGAGAGCCGGGCCCGCUGUGUGCUCCCCCGGAAGGACAGCCAGCUUGUAGGGGGGAGUGCCACCUGAAAAAAAAAUUUCCAGGUCCCCAAAGGGUGACCGUCUUCCGGAGGACAGCGGAUCGACUACCAUGUGGGUGCCCACAAAAAUUCCACCUCUGAGUCCUCAACUGCUGACCCCGGGGUCAGUAGACACGGGGUUUCACCAUGUUGGCCAGGCCGGUCUUGAACUUGUGACGUCAGGUGAUGCACCCGCCUUGGCCUCCCAAAGUGCUGGGAUUACAGGUCCAGAUUUUGAACAAAUCUCGCUAGAGAUUGAACAGAGCUGCGCCUGGAUCCCGCCACAGUGAGGAGACCUGAAGACCAGAGAAAACACAGCAAGCCCCUGGAUCCUCCUGGAAUCCCCGAUCCCUCUUGCUCCCUGGCAGAGUUUUCUAGUCCCUCUUACUUGAAGCAUGUCUUUCAGAGCCCGGCACCACCCAUCUUGAGUAUCUGGUGGAUUUUCACAUCUCAAGCCAGCUAAGAGUAUGGGAAAUAGGACUCGUUAAAGCACAGAUAUCACACAAGUGAUUCAGAUUCACGAGGGUAAUCCAGAUGAAGGUAUAUCAUUGUACCUGGCCCGCAUCACUCAGUAACUGUCACCUUUGAUUUAUUGAUUUACUUGAGAUGGAGUUUGGUUCUGUCCCCGAGGCCGGAGUGCAAUGGCGUGAUCUCUGCUCACUACAACCUCUGCCUCCCAGGUUCAGAGUGAUUCUCCUGCCUCAGCCUCUUUAGCUGGGAUUACAGGCACCCACCAACAUGCCCAGCUAAUUUUUGUAUUUUUAGUAGAGAGGAGCUUUCACCAUAAUGGCCAGGCUGGUCUUGAACCUCAAAUGAUCUGCCCACCUUGGCCUCCCAAAGUGCUAGGAUUACAGGCUGGAGCUACAGAGCCCAGCCUGUCACCUUGAUUUAAAUGAAUGCAGCUUUCUUGGUGUCUUGAUGUUUGUGAAUUUCUGUGGAGUUUGAUACUGCUCCUUUUGCUGCUUGUUUUUCCAGAGUCCCCUUAUCACUUGACGUGCUGUUAUAUUAUGUUUGAUUUAUUACAGAUACCCCAUCAGCCUGAGUCUCUUAAAGGCCUUUAUACACAUAUGUCUACACAUAGGGAUUUGGAUGAUCUCGGGAUCCCACAUCCUCGCUGUCCCCUGUCCCCCCGCAACAUCCCCCACCAAUACCUUUCUGAAGUUUUCUAGUCCCUCCUUUUUGUUUGUGCUCCUUAAAGCCCAGCCCCAUGCCUGACUUUGGUUCCCAGUGAGCAUUGUACAUUUGUGGAUAUUA
ensembl:lncRNA LINC00665 long intergenic non-protein coding RNA 665